UCUAUGUCUCAUGCUGGGGAUGAUUCAAGGAUGACUUGCUCCACCUCUGACCUUAAGGAAAGUGCUACCCAAUAAGAGAGUCAGACAGGAGCAGAGCUACUCCUAAAGCAAAGCAGAAUGUUCUGAGGGUGAUUGAGCAUAGAGACCAAGCCGCACCCAUGGAGUUGGACAUCUGGGAGUCUCAACAGAGGAGCAGCAUCAAUAUAAUUAUUGAAAACUGUGGUUUCUGGUCUGACGUAAGGAGAUUGGAAGUUUUCACUCCUGGCCUCACAACAAGAAAAAAGAUGAACAAAUUAUUGUUAAAUCCGUCAGAGAACUGAUUCCCAGGACAAACUGCUGUCCCCUAAAUUGGAGGGACAGACGAGUGGAUACAGAGAAUCACAGCUUACUCGAGCAGAAGCCACCGUGGGAACCCACUCUGGAGUAAGGAAACCUAAACUGUGACUGAGGAACUGCUGGACAAGCUCAGAACCUCCUGGGAGACCCACACUUGCAUAAGUUUUCCUCCCAGGAGCUCCACUAGAUUCUCAUAGUGUAGAUCAAAGAAAAAUCCCACUUUUGGCAGAGAUAAGAAGGAAGUAACCAUUUGGAAAUAUGC
rnacentral:lncRNA from 1 species